rnacentral:rRNA from 1 species
CAGUCGCCGCGGUAAUACGGAGGGGGCUAGCGUUGUUCGGAAUUACUGGGCGUAAAGCGCACGUAGGCGGCUUGGUAAGUUAGAGGUGAAAGCCUGGAGCUCAACUCCAGAAUUGCCUUUAAGACUGCCGAGCUAGUAGGUGAGAGAGGUAAGUGGAAUUCCGAGUGUAGAGGUGAAAUUCGUAGAUAUUCGGAAGAACACCAGUGGCGAAGGCGGCUCACUGGACGACUGUUGACGCUGAGGUGCGAAAGCGUGGGGAGCAAACAGGAUUAGAUACCCCAGUAGUCCCUGUCUCUUAUAC